rnacentral:pre_miRNA from 2 species
UCUUAUGGAUGAGUAAAGAAAGAGGUUUCUUGAGAUUGGAUCUACUUAUGGUGGAGAUGCUGUGAA